UUAGGAAUUUUGGGCAAUGGGGGCAACCCUGACCCAGCAACGCCGCGUGGGUGAUGAAGGCCUUCGGGUCGUAAAGCCCUUUUCCCAGGGACGAUGAUGACGGUACCUGGGGAAUCAGCCCCGGCUAACUACGUGCCAGCAGCCGCGGUAAUACGUAGGGGGCAAGCGUUGUCCGGAUUUAUUGGGCGUAAAGCGCUCGCAGGCGGCUCGAUGCGUCGUGCGUGAAACACCCCGGCUCAACUGGGGAGGGUCGUGCGAUACGGUCGGGCUUGAGGCCAGUAGGGGGAUGCGGAAUUCCGGGUGUAGUGGUGGAAUGCGUAGAGAUCCGGAGGAACACCAGCGGCGAAGGCGGCAUCCUGGACUGGUACUGACGCUCAUGAGCGAAAGCGUGGGGAGCGAUCCG
rnacentral:rRNA from 1 species